rnacentral:rRNA from 1 species
GGGUUGUGAGGUUAAGCGACUAAGCGUACACGGUGGAUGCCCUGGCAGUCAGAGGCGAUGAAGGACGUGCUAAUCUGCGAUAAGCGUCGGUAAGGUGAUAUGAACCGUUAUAACCGGCGAUUUCCGAAUGGGGAAACCCAGUGUGUUUCGACACACUAUCAUUAACUGAAUCCAUAGGUUAAUGAGGCGAACCGGGGGAACUGAAACAUCUAAGUACCCCGAGGAAAAGAAAUCAACCGAGAUUCCCCCAGUAGCGGCGAGCGAACGGGGAGCAGCCCAGAGCCUGAAUCAGUGUGUGUGUUAGUGGAAGCGUCUGGAAAGGCGCGCGAUACAGGGUGACAGCCCCGUACACAAAAAUGCACAUGCUGUGAGCUCGAUGAGUAGGGCGGGACACGUGGUAUCCUGUCUGAAUAUGGGGGGACCAUCCUCCAAGGCUAAAUACUCCUGACUGACCGAUAGUGAACCAGUACCGUGAGGGAAAGGCGAAAAGAACCCCGGCGAGGGGAGUGAAAAAGAACCUGAAACCGUGUACGUACAAGCAGUGGGAGCACGCUUAGGCGUGUGACUGCGUACCUUUUGUAUAAUGGGUCAGCGACUUAUAUUCUGUAGCAAGGUUAACCGAAUAGGGGAGCCGAAGGGAAACCGAGUCUUAACUGGGCGUUAAGUUGCAGGGUAUAGACCCGAAACCCGGUGAUCUAGCCAUGGGCAGGUUGAAGGUUGGGUAACACUAACUGGAGGACCGAACCGACUAAUGUUGAAAAAUUAGCGGAUGACUUGUGGCUGGGGGUGAAAGGCCAAUCAAACCGGGAGAUAGCUGGUUCUCCCCGAAAGCUAUUUAGGUAGCGCCUCGUGAAUUCAUCUCCGGGGGUAGAGCACUGUUUCGGCAAGGGGGUCAUCCCGACUUACCAACCCGAUGCAAACUGCGAAUACCGGAGAAUGUUAUCACGGGAGACACACGGCGGGUGCUAACGUCCGUCGUGAAGAGGGAAACAACCCAGACCGCCAGCUAAGGUCCCAAAGUCAUGGUUAAGUGGGAAACGAUGUGGGAAGGCCCAGACAGCCAGGAUGUUGGCUUAGAAGCAGCCAUCAUUUAAAGAAAGCGUAAUAGCUCACUGGUCGAGUCGGCCUGCGCGGAAGAUGUAACGGGGCUAAACCAUGCACCGAAGCUGCGGCAGCGACGUUUAUGCGUUGUUGGGUAGGGGAGCGUUCUGUAAGCCUGUGAAGGUGUGCUGUGAGGCAUGCUGGAGGUAUCAGAAGUGCGAAUGCUGACAUAAGUAACGAUAAAGCGGGUGAAAAGCCCGCUCGCCGGAAGACCAAGGGUUCCUGUCCAACGUUAAUCGGGGCAGGGUGAGUCGACCCUAAGGCGAGGCCGAAAGGCGUAGUCGAUGGGAAACAGGUUAAUAUUCCUGUACUUGGUGUUACUGCGAAGGGGGGACGGAGAAGGCUAUGUUGGCCGGGCGACGGUUGUCCCGGUUUAAGCGUGUAGGCUGGUUUUCCAGGCAAAUCCGGAAAAUCAAGGCUGAGGCGUGAUGACGAGGCACUACGGUGCUGAAGCAACAAAUGCCCUGCUUCCAGGAAAAGCCUCUAAGCAUCAGGUAACAUCAAAUCGUACCCCAAACCGACACAGGUGGUCAGGUAGAGAAUACCAAGGCGCUUGAGAGAACUCGGGUGAAGGAACUAGGCAAAAUGGUGCCGUAACUUCGGGAGAAGGCACGCUGAUAUGUAGGUGAAGUCCCUCGCGGAUGGAGCUGAAAUCAGUCGAAGAUACCAGCUGGCUGCAACUGUUUAUUAAAAACACAGCACUGUGCAAACACGAAAGUGGACGUAUACGGUGUGACGCCUGCCCGGUGCCGGAAGGUUAAUUGAUGGGGUUAGCGGUAACGCGAAGCUCUUGAUCGAAGCCCCGGUAAACGGCGGCCGUAACUAUAACGGUCCUAAGGUAGCGAAAUUCCUUGUCGGGUAAGUUCCGACCUGCACGAAUGGCGUAAUGAUGGCGGGCUGUCUCCACCCGAGACUCAGUGAAAUUGAACUCGCUGUGAAGAUGCAGUGUACCCGCGGCAAGACGGAAAGACCCCGUGAACCUUUACUAUAGCUUGACACUGAACAUUGAGCCUUGAUGUGUAGGAUAGGUGGGAGGCUUAGAAGUGUGGACGCCAGUCUGCAUGGAGCCGACCUUGAAAUACCACCCUUUAAUGUUUGAUGUUCUAACGUUGACCCGUAAUCCGGGUUGCGGACAGUGUCUGGUGGGUAGUUUGACUGGGGCGGUCUCCUCCUAAAGAGUAACGGAGGAGCACGAAGGUUGGCUAAUCCUGGUCGGACAUCAGGAGGUUAGUGCAAUGGCAUAAGCCAGCUUGACUGCGAGCGUGACGGCGCGAGCAGGUGCGAAAGCAGGUCAUAGUGAUCCGGUGGUUCUGAAUGGAAGGGCCAUCGCUCAACGGAUAAAAGGUACUCCGGGGAUAACAGGCUGAUACCGCCCAAGAGUUCAUAUCGACGGCGGUGUUUGGCACCUCGAUGUCGGCUCAUCACAUCCGGGGCUGAAGUAGGUCCCAAGGGUAUGGCUGUUCGCCAUUUAAAGUGGUACGCGAGCUGGGUUUAGAACGUCGUGAGACAGUUCGGUCCCUAUCUGCCGUGGGCGCUGGAGAACUGAGGGGGGCUGCUCCUAGUACGAGAGGACCGGAGUGGACGCAUCACUGGUGUUCGGGUUGUCAUGCCAAUGGCACUGCCCGGUAGCUAAAUGCGGAAGAGAUAAGUGCUGAAAGCAUCUAAGCACGAAACUUGCCCCGAGAUGAGUUCUCCCUGACUCCUUGAGAGUCCUGAAGGAACGUUGAAGACGACGACGUUGAUAGGCCGGGUGUGUAAGCGCAGCGAUGCGUUGAGCUAACCGGUACUAAUGAACCGUGAGGCUUAACCUUACAACGCCGAAGCUGUU